rnacentral:rRNA from 1 species
UGAGCAACCUGCCCUUGACCCUGGAAUAACAGCUGGAAACAGCUGCUAAUACCGGAUAUGACCUCCGAUGGCAUCAUCUGGAGGUGGAAAGCUCCGACGGUCAAGGAUGGGCUCGCGGCCUAUCAGCUUGUUGGUGAGGUAAUAGCUCACCAAGGCGAUGGACGGGUAGCCGGCCUGGAGGAGGGUCGACCGGCCACACGUGGGACUGAGACACCGGCCCAGACCUCCG